UACGGAGGGGGCUAGCGUUGUUCGGAAUUACUGGGCGUAAAGCGUGCGCAGGCGGUUUUGUAAGUCUGUCGUGAAAUCCCCGGGCUCAACCUGGGAAUUGCGAUGGAGACUGCAAGGCUAGAAUCUGGCAGAGGGGGGUAGAAUUCCACGUGUAGCAGUGAAAUGCGUAGAGAUGUGGAGGAACACCGAUGGCGAAGGCAGCCCCCUGGGUCAAGAUUGACGCUCAUGCACGAAAGGCGUGGGGAGCAAACAGG
rnacentral:rRNA from 1 species